GACGAACGCUGGCGGCGUGCCUAAUACAUGCAAGUAGAACGCUGAAGAGAGGAGCUUGCUCUUCUUGGAUGAGUUGCGAACGGGUGAGUAACGCGUAGGUAACCUGCCUGGUAGCGGGGGAUAACUAUUGGAAACGAUAGCUAAUACCGCAUAAAAUUGAUUAUUGCAUGAUAAUUAAUUGAAAGAUGCAACUGCAUCACUACCAGAUGGACCUGCGUUGUAUUAGCUAGUUGGUGAGGUAACGGCUCACCAAGGCGACGAUACAUGGCCGACCUGAGAGGGUGAUCGGCCACACUGGGACGGAGACACGGCCCAGACUCCUACGGGAGGCAGCAGUAGGGAAUCUUCGGCAAUGGGGGGAACCCUGACCGAGCAACGCCGCGUGAGUGAAGAAGGUUGUCGGAUCGUAAAGCUCGGUUGUAAGAGAAGAACGGGUGUGAGAGUGGAAAGUUCACACUGUGACGGUAGCUGACCAGAAAGGGACGGCUAACUACGUG
rnacentral:rRNA from 1 species